UGGGGGAUGAAUGGCUUCGGCCCGUAAACCCCUGUCAGUCUGGGAACAAUGCUCAUCCGAUAACACCGGAUGAGUUGAUAGUACUGGAAGAGGAAGGGACGGCUAACUCUGUGCCAGCAGCCGCGGUAAUACAGAGGUCCCAAGCGUUGUUCGGAUUCACUGGGCGUAAAGGGUGCGUAGGUGGUGAGGUAAGUCGGAUGUGAAAUCUCCGAGCUCAACUCGGAAAUGGCAUUGGAAACUACCUCGCUAGAGGAUUGGAGGGGAGACUGGAAUUCUCGGUGUAGCAGUGAAAUGCGUAGAUAUCGAGAGGAACACCAGUGGCGAAGGCGAGUCUCUGGACAAUUCCUGACGCUGAGGCACGAAAGCCAGGGGAGCAAACGGGAUUAGAUACCCCGGUAGUCCUGGCCGUAAACGGUGCACGUUUGCUGUAAGAGGAAUCGACCCCUUUUGUGGCGUAGCCAACGCGAUAAACGUGCCGCCUGGGAAGUACGGUCGCAAGAUUA
rnacentral:rRNA from 1 species